GGCGAGAUGGCCGAGUGGUCUAAGGCGCUGGUUUUAGGCACCAGUCUCUUCGGAGGCGUGGGUUCGAAUCCCACUCUCGUCA
rfam:Ascaris lumbricoides genome assembly, scaffold: ALTE_scaffold0004004